CCUACGGGAGGCAGCAGUGGGGAAUAUUGCACAAUGGGGGAAACCCUGAUGCAGCGACGCCGCGUGAGUGAAGAAGUAUCUCGGUACGUAAAGCUCUAUCAGCAGGGAAGAAAAUGACGGUACCUGACUAAGAAGCCCCGGCUAACUACGUGCCAGCAGCCGCCGUAAUACGUAGGGGGCACGCGUUAUCCGGAUUUACUGGGUGUAAAGGGAGCGUAGACGGGAGCACAAGUCUGGAGUGAAAUCCCGGGGCUUAACCCCGGAACUGCUUUGGAAACUGGGCGGCUGGAGUGCAGGAGGGGAAGGCGGAAUUCCUGGUGUAGCGGUGAAAUGCGUAGAUAUUAGGAGGAACACCGGUGGCGAAGGCGGCUGUCUGGACUGUAACUGACGUUGAGGCUCGAAAGCGUGGGGAGCAAACAGGAUUAGAUACCCCAGUAGUC
rnacentral:rRNA from 1 species